GGGUCAGUAGGUUGGUCGUGCCACCGGGACGUACUGGUCUCACUGAUUCCUCCUUCCUGAAGAACCGUAAUGCCAUUAAUUUGGUGUUGCGGGGAAACAGGACUGUUACUUUGAAAAAAUUAGAGGGUUUAAGGCAAGCUAACGCUUGAAUACAUUAGCAUGGAAUAAUGAAAUAGGACGAUCGAUCCUAUUUUGUUGGUUUCUAGGAUUGACGUA
rnacentral:rRNA from 1 species